rnacentral:rRNA from 1 species
GCAGCCAUCAUUUAAAGAAAGCGUAAUAGCUCACUGGUCGAGUCGGCCUGCGCGGAAGAUGUAACGGGGCUAAACCAUGCACCGAAGCUGCGGCAGCGACGUUUAGGCGUUGUUGGGUAGGGGAGCGUUCUGUAAGCCGUUGAAGGUGACCUGUGAGGGUUGCUGGAGGUAUCAGAAGUGCGAAUGCUGACAUAAGUAACGAUAAUGCGGGUGAAAAACCCGCACGCCGGAAGACCAAGGGUUCCUGUCCAACGUUAAUCGGGGCAGGGUGAGUCGACCCCUAAGGCGAGGCUGAAAAGCGUAGUCGAUGGGAAACAGGUUAAUAUUCCUGUACUUGGUGUUACUGCGAAGGGGGGACGGAGAAGGCUAGGCUGGCCGGGCGACGGUUGUCCCGGUUUAAGCGUGUAGGGGGAGUGACCAGGUAAAUCCGGUUGCUUAUCAACCCUGAGGCGUGAUGACGAUGCACCACGGUGCAGAAGCAGUUGAUGCCAUGCUUCCAGGAAAAGCCUCUAAGCAUCAGGUAACAUUAAAUCGUACCCCAAACCGACACAGGUGGUCAGGUAGAGAAUACUCAGGCGCUUGAGAGAACUCGGGUGAAGGAACUAGGCAAAAUGGUGCCGUAACUUCGGGAGAAGGCACGCUGGCGUUAGGUGAAAGGACUAGCUCCUGGAGCUGAAGCCAGUCGCAGAUACCAGCUGGCUGCAACUGUUUAAUAAAAACACAGCACUGUGCAAACACGAAAGUGGACGUAUACAGUGUGACGCCUGCCCGGUGCUGGAAGGUUAAUUGAUGGGGUCAGCCGCAAGGGGAAGCUCUUGAUCGAAGCCCCAGUAAACGGCGGCCGUAACUAUAACGGUCCUAAGGUAGCGAAAUUCCUUGUCGGGUAAGUUCCGACCUGCACGAAUGGCGUAAUGAUGGCCAGGCUGUCUCCACCCGAGACUCAGUGAAAUUGAACUCGCUGUGAAGAUGCAGUGUACCCGCGGCAAGACGGAAAGACCCCGUGAACCUUUACUAUAGCUUGACACUGAACAUUGAGCCUUGAUGUGUAGGAUAGGUGGGAGGCCUUGAAGUGUGGACGCCAGUCUGCAUGGAGCCAACCUUGAAAUACCACCCUUUAAUGUUUGAUGUUCUAACUCGGCCCCAUGAUCUGGGGUGAGGACAGUGUCUGGUGGGUAGUUUGACUGGGGCGGUCUCCUCCCAAAGAGUAACGGAGGAGCACGAAGGUUAGCUAAUCACGGUCGGACAUCGUGAGGUUAGUGCAAAGGCAUAAGCUAGCUUGACUGCGAGAGUGACGGCUCGAGCAGGUACGAAAGUAGGUCUUAGUGAUCCGGUGGUUCUGAAUGGAAGGGCCAUCGCUCAACGGAUAAAAGGUACUCCGGGGAUAACAGGCUGAUACCGCCCAAGAGUUCAUAUCGACGGCGGUGUUUGGCACCUCGAUGUCGGCUCAUCACAUCCUGGGGCUGAAGUAGGUCCCAAGGGUAUGGCUGUUCGCCAUUUAAAGUGGUACGCGAGCUGGGUUUAGAACGUCGUGAGACAGUUCGGUCCCUAUCUGCCGUGGGCGUUGGAAGAUUGAGAGGGGCUGCUCCUAGUACGAGAGGACCGGAGUGGACGAAUCACUGGUGUUCGGGUUGUCAUGCCAAUGGCAUUGCCCGGUAGCUAAAUUCGGAAGAGAUAACCGCUGAAAGCAUCUAAGCGGGAAACUUGCCUCGAGAUGAGUCUUCCCUGGGACUUAAAGUCCCCUGAAGGAACGUUAAAGACUAUGACGUUGAUAGGCUGGGUGUGUAAGUGCAGCGAUGUAUUGAGCUAACCAGUACUAAUGAUCCGUGAGGCUUAACCUU